AUCCGUGUGGCUCAGUUGGUAGAGCAUGGUGCUUGCAAUGGCAGGGUUGUGGGUUCAAUUCCCAUGGGGGACA
rnacentral:tRNA from 1 species